rnacentral:rRNA from 1 species
CCUACGGGUGGCAGCAGUGGGGAAUAUUGCACAAUGGGGGAAACCCUGAUGCAGCGACGCCGCGUGAAGGAAGAAGUAUUUCGGUAUGUAAACUUCUGUCAGCAGGGAAGAAAAUGACGGUACCUGCCUAAGAAGCCACGGCUAACUACGUGCCAGCAGCAGCGGUAAUACGUAGGGGGCAAGCGUUAUCCGGAUUUACUGGGUGUAAAGGGAGCGUAGGCGGCGAUGAAAGUCAGAAGUGAAAGCCCGGGGCUCAACUCCGGGACUGCUUUGGAAACUGUAGAGCUAGAUUGCAGGAGAGGUAAGUGGAAUUCCUAGUGUAGCGGUGAAAUGCGUAGAUAUUAGGAGGAACACCAGUGGCGAAGGCGGCUUGCUGGACUGUAAAUGACGCUGAGGCUCGAAAGCGUGGGGAGCAAACAGGAUUAGAUACCCUUGUAGUC